rnacentral:rRNA from 1 species
AGUGAACGCUGGCGGUAGGCCUAACACAUGCAAGUCGAACGGCAGCACAGUACUAGCUUGCUCUUACGGGUGGCGAGUGGCGGACGGGUGCGGGAAACAUCGGUAUCUGCUUUUUCGUGGGGGCGAACACAGGGGCACUUACGCUAAUACCGCAUACGACCUACGGGUGAAAGCAUGGGAUCUUCGGACCUUGCGCGAGUGAAUGAGCCGAUGUCGGAUUAGCUAGUUGGCGGGGUAAAGGCCCACCAAGGCGACGAUCCGUAGCUGGUCUGAGAGGAUGAUCAGCCACACUGGAACUGAGACACGGUCCAGACUCCUACGGGAGGCAGCAGUGGGGAAUAUUGGACAAUGGGCGAAAGCCUGAUCCAGCCAUACCGCGUGGGUGAAGAAGGCCUUCGGGUUGUAAAGCCCUUUUGUUGGGAAAGAAAAGCAGCAGGUUAAUACCCCGCUGUUCUGACGGUACCCAAAGAAUAAGCACCGGCUAACUUCGUG